AGUAACGCGUAAAGAACUUGCCUCACAGUUAGGGACAACAUUUGGAAACGAAUGCUAAUACCUGAUAUUAUGAUUUUAGGGCAUCCUAAGAUUAUGAAAGCUAUAUGCACUGUGAGAGAGCUUUGCGUCCCAUUAGCUAGUUGGAGAGGUAACGGCUCACCAAGGCGAUGAUGGGUAGCCGGCCUGAGAGGGUGAACGGCCACAAGGGGACUGAGACACGGCCCUU
rnacentral:rRNA from 1 species